rnacentral:lncRNA from 1 species
AAAAAUAAUAAUAAUAACCAACUGUUUCUAAAAUAAAUGGCAAAAGACUUAGUGAUUGGUAUCCGAGAUCUCAAGUUAGAAUCCUAAUUGAUUCACAUUUUCAGCUAAGUUUAUUUCUAAAUGAAAUAAACGAAACGGAUAGCGUGCUACCUAUCUCUCAAAUAAUAAUAAUAAUAAUAAUAAUAAUAAUUUUCUCUCAUACCCUAAAAUUUGCACUAUGAAA